rnacentral:rRNA from 1 species
UACGGAGGGAGCUAGCGUUGUUCGGAAUUACUGGGCGUAAAGCGCACGUAGGCGGCUUUGCAAGUUAGAGGUGAAAGCCCGGGGCUCAACUCCGGAAUUGCCUUUAAAACUGCGUCGCUAGAGUUGUGGAGAGGUAAGUGGAAUUCCGAGUGUAGAGGUGAAAUUCGUAGAUAUUCGGAAGAACACCAGUGGCGAAGGCGACUUACUGGACACAUACUGACGCUGAGGUGCGAAAGCGUGGGGAGCGAACAGG